AGUAAAUUGUUGAAUAAGAAGAGUAGCAUUUAUUGUUUUGUCCAGAGAGCGUAUGGAUGGUGAAAAUACGCCAAAAGGUAAAUGUGAAUGGGCCUUAUGAAAGCUGCUGGCGCUAGUCGGUGGACGGUACCCUGCCGUUAUCAGGUUUAAGUGGAGGCAUGGCUUUUUUGGCAUGCUUCAAACGAGGUGGCAACGCGGUGCAGAUCGUCCUCAGC
rnacentral:ncRNA from 1 species